rnacentral:rRNA from 1 species
UUGUGGCAGCCUGCGCGGUAAUACGUAGGGGGCGAGCGUUGUCCGGAAUUACUGGGCGUAAAGGGCGUGUAGGCGGUAUAACAAGUCAGGUGUGAAAGCCCCCGGCUCAACUGGGGGUAUGCAUCUGAAACUGUAAUACUUGAGUGCAGGAGAGGGAAGCGGAAUUCCUGGUGUAGCGGUGAAAUGCGUAGAUAUCAGGAAGAACACCGGUGGCGAAGGCGGCUUUCUGGCCUGUAACUGACGCUGAGGCGCGAAAGCGUGGGGAGCAAACAGGAUUAGAUACCCUGGUAGUCCACGCCGUAAACGAUGGAUACUAGGUGUAGGAGGUAUUUAAUCCUUCUGUGCCGAAGUAAACACAUUAAGUAUGCCGCCUGGG